rnacentral:lncRNA from 1 species
CUAAAAUUGUGGAAAUAGCUGCAAACAUUGCAGCCGGGGUCUUUAAUGAAGAGGACGCAGAGCGCAUCUCAAUUUCGGACGCAAGAGCGCAAGGGUCGACGCGCGAGGGGAGAAUGGCUCGUAGACAA